CACACACACACACACACACACACACACACACACAGACUGCUGCUCUUCAUCCCUUCCACCUGCCUCCAUCUCUCCUAUUUCUCCCAGUAUCAUCACUACCUCCACCAGUAUCUUAUUCCCUCUCACUCCAUCCAUCCAGCCAUCCUUCUUUUUUUCUCUCCAGUCCCCACGCCCUUCUAACCCACACACUCUGUUACCACCGUGGUCAAGAAAAUGAUCAGCCAACAAGCUGGAAGAGGUAGAGGAGAGGAAAAAGAGUGGAGAAAGAGAGAAAGAGUGAACUCUGUCCAUUUAAGAUACUCCAGACGUUCCAGUUUCCUCUAUGGAUUAUGCAGAGCCCCAUGGACGGAUGGAGGAGUGGAGGAGAAAAGAGGAAGAGGAAGAGAGAAGAAAGGAUUUGCACUCCGGACAGCCAGUCCGUGUGACGGCCGGAGUGCUUUAGUGCGAGUGUGUGUACGGCGUAACCAACCCAUUCUGCAGUGGAGCCGCGGAGCACAGGGGGAGUCUGAGCCAGGAAGUGAGCAGAGAGGGAGAGAACGAGGACCAGAGGAAAAUCCAUGAAUUCACACAAUUUCUCUCUCUAUCACUGCAGCCAGACACACAGACACAUCAAGAUCCAUUUCGAAAUCCGACGUUUGUCCAGGUACCCAGCACGUCGGGAGAUGCCUUCAUAACCGACCACUAGGGGCAACGUUAUUACAUGUCUUAGUCAGACCACGCCCCAGUUCACCUUCACCUCUUUUUGCAGUCUGCACGGAUUCUGCCAGAGACGGAGGAAAAAGGAAAAUCAGAAAGGGGAGGAACAGGAUGAGAUGCAGGAGAAACGGAGGGAUCAGGAGACUGAGGUGUGAAGGAAGCCUGGAGCAACUUCACCCUCCUCUUCAUUCUCCCAGAGACUCUGGCCACGAUUGUGACGGCAUUCUAAUUUCUACAUCCAGAUCCUUUUCUUCACACUGUGGUGCGUCUCUCCUCCACCUGCAGCAGCUGUUCAAUCAGCAGCUUCACUGGAGUGCAUAGGUAGAGGUCAAAGCUCAAAACUAACGUUCUUUACUAUCUCCUACACCACAGACACACACGUGCACACACACACGUGCACACACACACGUGCACACACACACGCAUUAAUUAAAGUCCUGUGUAGGUCUAUAAAUGCCAGUGGGGUGUAGGGACACCUAUCACCUGUUUAUGAUGAAAGUAGUGAAUGUGAUUGUGUGUGCACUGAGACUUCAUUGCAGCGGGACCACAGAGAGUUGCAGGACUGCACCUACCAGUUAAGAUAAGCAUAUGCUGCAGAAUGAAUGCCCUUUACACGCACGCAAACACACACACACACACGCAGGUCUCAUUAGCCUGUGUAAUUAUGCAUGGCACGUCCAGUUGGCCAGUGGGGAAGUAAUUAACCUUUUCCAGCAGGAAACAGCAAUCUGGACGUCUGACACACUCACAUGCACACACACACGUCUGGUGUCACGGAAAUAAAGUGUCAAAGACAGCGGCUGGCAUUCAAUGAUAAUCCCCUCACGCAUAUUUCCAUCUAAGGCUUAAAACACUAAUAAUGCCAAAUUACCUCUCCUCUCCCUUUAUCUUCCCUCCUUUCUCUUUCUCCCUCUUCUUGUCCCCAUGUCGUCUGUCUGUCUGUCUGUCUGUCUGUCUGUCUGUCUGUCUGUCUGUCUGUCUGUCUGUCUG